GUGGUUAUUGUGUUUCACUCUUAGUUAAAUAAAUGAUUGUUUUAGUAUAUGGUUUGAAAGGAUUGUUUUAGUAUAUGGUUCGAUCAUUUUUGAGAAUCAACUCUGCUAUCUUAUGAUUUUUUCCAACUUUAUCAACUUUAGUACCCCCUCAAUAGUUUUAAUUUGUUUAAUACCAGAUGUUUUGUUAGAUAAUAUCUUCUACCUUGACAUAUGGAAUAUACUUUGUUUUAACUGUAACUGGGAAUAAGCCAAACAAGGGUAUAUGAUAGCUUUGUUUAAAAUUGAAACUGUAAUAGGAAUCUAAAAUAGAUGUUUUGAUUAUUGUGUUAUCCUUUCACAUUCUCUAUAUUUCUUUUUUGAUUUAGCAUAUACUAUAUAUUUGCUUAUACCUUUAUUGGAUGUGAUAGUGUGCGAGGUGGGAAGGGUCGUGGGCGUGCAAAUUUUCAAGGACGUGGCAAUUCUAGAGCAAAGUCAUCCUUCAAGCCUUACCCACCACAAACAUCUAGACUUGAGUAAGCAUCUCAACCACAAAUGCACCCAAUAAGGAUUACUGAACCAUCUCCAGAGACAAUAUAAUCUAGUCGUACUCGUCAAGCACCUUCUCUAGUGACUAAAAAUUGUGGUGCAGCAGGAGCAAGGUUCUUAAACAAUCACAAAUGAGGACAACCAAGGUGAAGUUUGAAGUCACCUAGUGUUUUUUUUUAUGGUCAAAGGCAUCGAACGAGGAGGAGUUUGAAGAAUAAAGACACUUCAUGUUUUAUUUAUUUUGGCCAUAUGUAAAUGUAUACAAUGGCACUGAUGAUAAAGCAUUAGGUAGCGUAUGGCUAAUUGACUACUUAGUAAUGAAAGUAUUUAUUUAUAAUAUUUGGCUUGAGAAGUG